UGGGGAAUAUUGGACAAUGGGGGCAACCCUGAUCCAGCGAUGCCGCGUGUGUGAAGAAGGCCUGCGGGUUGUAAAGCAUUUUCGGUGGGGAGGAGGACUACCAGGUUAAGAGCCAGGUAGUUGGACGUUACCCACAUAAGAAGCACCGGCUAACUCCGUGCCAGCAGCCGCGGUAAUACGGAGGGUGCGAGCGUUAAUCGGAAUUACUGGGCGUAAAGAGUGCGUAGGCGGUUUAUUAAGUUAAGUGUGAAAGUCCUGGGCUUAACCUGGGGUAGUCAUUUAAAACUGGUAGACUGGAGUAUGGGAGAGGGUGGUGGAAUUUCCGGUGUAGCGGUGAAAUGCGUAGAGAUCGGAAGGAACAUCAGUGGCGAAGGCGGCCACCUGGCCUAAUACUGACGCUGAGGUACGAAAGCGUGGGGAGCAAACAGG
rnacentral:rRNA from 1 species